rnacentral:rRNA from 1 species
UACGUAGGGGGCAAGCGUUGUCCGGAAUCAUUGGGCGUAAAGCGCGUGUAGGCGGUUCGGUAAGUCGGCUGUGAAAGUCGGGGGCUCAACCCUCGAAUGCCGGUGGAUACUGUCGGGCUAGAGUGCGGAAGAGGCGAGUGGAAUUCCUGGUGUAGCGGUGAAAUGCGCAGAUAUCAGGAGGAACACCAAUUGCGAAGGCAGCUCGCUGGGACGCUACUGACGCUGAGACGCGAAAGCGUGGGGAGCAAACAGG